rnacentral:rRNA from 1 species
UACGUAGGGUGCAAGCGUUAAUCGGAAUUACUAGGCGUAAAGCGUGCGCAGGCGGUGAUGUAAGACAGAUGUGAAAUCCCCGGGCUCAACCUGGGAACUGCAUUUGUGACUGCAUCGCUGGAGUGCGGCAGAGGGGGAUGGAAUUCCGCGUGUAGCAGUGAAAUGCGUAGAUAUGCGGAGGAACACCGAUGGCGAAGGCGGCCACCUGGUCCGGCACUGACGCUGUAGCGCGAAAGCGUGGGGAGCAAACAGG